rnacentral:lncRNA from 1 species
UUCGGUUUAAUAUUUAGAUUUGAUCUAAGUAUUACUUGAACCAAGUCUAGUAGGAUCAUGCCAAAUCCCACGAUAGAUAACAUGCUAUAUUAUCCCUUGUAUUUGAUCAAUUCCCAAUUGCACGCCAUCCACCGUGCAUAUGCUCUGAGAUUUGCCUUAGAUCCUGGUUUACUUAGAUCUGAUGUAGUGGUCUCAUAGAUUUGAUAAUCCCCCC